rnacentral:rRNA from 1 species
AUUGAACGCUGGCGGCAGGCCUAACACAUGCAAGUCGAGCGAGCGGCGGACGGGUGAGUCAUGUCUGGGAAACUGCCUGAUGGAGGGGGAUAACUAAUGGAAACGGUAGCUAAUACCGCAUACCAUCAGAUGUGCCCAGAUGGGAUUAGCUAGUAGGUGGGGUAACGGCUUACCUAGGCGACGAUCCCUAGCUGGUCUGAGAGGAUGACCAGCCACACUGGAACUGAGACACGGUCCAGAUUCCUACGGGGGGCAGCAGUGGGGAAUAUGGCACAAUGGGCGCAGGCCUGAUACAGCCAUGCCGCGUGUGUGAAUAAGGCCUGCGGGUUGUAAAGCACUUUCAGCUGGGAGGCGUUACCCGCAGAAGAAGCACCGGCUAACUCCGUGCCAGCAGCCGCGGUAAUAC